AACGAACGCUGGCGGCAGGCUUAACACAUGCAAGUCGAGCGCCCCGCAAGGGGAGCGGCAGACGGGUGAGUAACGCGUGGGAACGUACCCUUUGCUACGGAAUAGCUCCGGGAAACUGGAAUUAAUACCGUAUGUGCCCUACGGGGGAAAGAUUUAUCGGCAAAGGAUCGGCCCGCGUUGGAUUAGCUAGUUGGUGGGGUAAUGGCCUACCAAGGCGACGAUCCAUAGCUGGUCUGGGAGGAUGAUCAGCCACAUUGGGACUGAGACACGGCCCAAACUCCUACGGGAGGCAGCAGUGGGGAAUAUUGGACAAUGGGCGCAAGCCUGAUCCAGCCAUGCCGCGUGAGUGAUGAAGGCCUUAGGGUUGUAAAGCUCUUUCACCGGAGAAGAUAAUGACGGUAUCCGGAGAAGAAGCCCCGGCUAACUUCGUGCCAGCAGCCGCGGUAAGAC
rnacentral:rRNA from 1 species